rnacentral:rRNA from 1 species
GACGAACGCUGGCGGCGUGCUUAACACAUGCAAGUCGAACGAAGUGGCGAACGGGUGAGUAACGCGUAAUCAACCUGCCCUUCAGAGGGGGACAACAGGUGGAAACGACUGCUAAUACCGCAUACUGAAGGAGGGGAUUGCGUCUGAUUAGCUAGUUGGCGGGGUAACGGCCCACCAAGGCGAUUAUGAGUAGCCGGUCUGAGAGGAUGACGGGCCACAUUGGGACUGAGAAACGGCCCAGACUCCUACGGGAGGCAGCAGUGGGGAAUCUUCCGCAAUGGACGAAAGUCUGACGGAGCAACGCCGCGUGAGUGAUGACGGCCUUCGGGUUGUAAAGCUCUGUUAAUCGGGACGCGGUACCGGAAUAGAAAGCCACGGCUAACUACGUGCCAGCAGCCGCGGUAUAC